GCCUGAGUGGCUCAGUCGGUUAAGCAUCUGACUUCGGCUCAGGUCAUGAUCUCACGGCUUGUGGGUUCGAGCCCCGCAUUGGGCU
rnacentral:tRNA from 1 species